ensembl:lncRNA
AUGAAGGGCUUUGCCGAUCUCCGACACUGGAUAUCCCCCCGCACCCUGCUGCCAGGAGCUAGGGGAGAGAGUGCUCUGGGGCAUGAGUCAGGGCCAGGAAUGCCAGGCACAGCCCGGGAAGGAGCCAAAGAAGAUGACUCUGGUAUAAACCCUGGCCACUUGGGGUGGAAAAUAAAUCAGAGAGAAGGUUGUGGUAGGGAGUGUGCACUCACCCCCACCCCCCAUCUGCUGCUCCACAUGAGGCACCUUCCCUGUGCAAGCCUGGCAGCAGCUGCCCUGCUCUUUCUUGGGGGGCAGGCCAGGCAGAGAAAGAAAAUCGAACCGACAUCUUCAGUCUUGAGUUUCACACAGCUCUCAGUCUGCAGGGAAUAAAGAAGAAGAAAGAAGCAAUUUUAGCUCUGCAGGGGAGCAUUUCAAAAGGGGAGUGUGAGGGGAUUGGGCUCAAUUAUUAAUAAUACACGUAUUUCUCUCAAUUUCCUUAAAAUUUGGAGGUCUGGUUUUAGGAAGUUACUAAAACUUGAAAAACUGCAGGCAUUGCAUAGAUAUUUGACGAACAGUUAUAACACACUAUAUGUACUCAUCACAUUUAGAAGAAUUAUAAAGGCAAGAGUGAUGCAGUAAGCAGAGCCCUGGUCUUGGGGAGAGAAGAGCUGGGUGUGCGUUCUGGCCUACUUGCUGUGUGACACAGGGUAUGUCAUUAGACCACUCUGAGCCUCAGUUUAUUCAUCUAUAAAAUGGGGAUGAGGACAGCUCCCAAGGCAAUGGAAAGAAUACAUACAACUGUACUGAAGACAACUGUAAAAUGAUGAACAAAUGGGACAUUGUUUAUCUGGGAAUUUAAAAGCCAGAAUCUUCCAAGCAACAAAAUGCUGAAUAUAGCAAAAUCUAGUUCAGGUUUAACAGACUGACAUUUGAGUUCUUCCUGUGUAAGAACCAUAGUAGACCUAUUUAAUUUAAUUCUCAUAAAUAACCUGUGAGAUAAUGCUCUUAUCAUAUCUGUUUUACAGAUGAUAAGCCCAAGGCACAAAGAAGUGAGGUAACUCAUCCCAUAUCCCCCAAACUAGCAAGUGUCAAAGGCUGAACACACACUUGGGUGACUUGAGCUUAGAGCACAUCCUGUUUUUUGGUAGACUCACUGCAUGCAUUCCUGUGCAUGAUCUCAUCUACAAUUCACAACAAUUCUAGGAGGACUGUAUUAUCACUUCCAUUUAGUAGACAAGGAAAGUAAGGCACAGAGAGAAUAAGUGACUUUGUCAAGGCCAAAAAGUUUAAAAGUUUGAGUCAGGAUUUAAAUCAGGCAGUUUGACCUCAGGGUCUAUACUCUUAACCACCACUCUAGUGGAAUGGUUCUAAAAUUAUUUUUAAAAUAAUCAUUCAUUUUCAAAAUCAUACUAUCAGGGUGCCUGAAGAAAGAGUCACUAUGGCCCAGAAUACAGGUCAAUGAGAUAACCCACUGGGCUGUGAACUCCCCAGAUGAUGACCACUGGUAUGUCACAGGGGGCGCCCUGAGCAAUUUAGGCAGGGCAGAGCCAACCGUGAUGGAAAUCACAGUGACAUCAUGGAGGUGGCAUUAGUAACACACCAGCUCUGACCGAGGUGGGUCCAUCACAUGCUUUGGUGGUGAACAUCUGUUUUAUUGCACUAAACUGCACUUGUGCACAUACCAAUCCCCUUCUAAAUCCACAAAACGGAAAAAGAAACCAAAGAGAAACCUCCAGAGGACCGGUGGAGCCUAGACCAAGUCUUCUGUAAAUUGUUGUACUCUUUGGAAAUAAUAUGUUUAAACGUCAGUAGCUCCAGUAAUCUGGAAUAUGCUCUAUCCGGUCUUGAAAUCCUCCGUCCAGCCACGGCACCCAACGACAGUCGGUUCUUUCACCCACGGGGGGCAGCGCGAGCGCAGAUCUUGGUCUGGUCAGGACGCUCCGGGCUGCGGAGCUCAGGAGACAGAAAACUGGAAGAGGAGGGAGGAGUUAGAUACAGAAAUAAGACCCAUGAAUUCUGACUUCGGAUAAAACAUGUCAUUCGUUUAAACCCCUCCCGUCUGGCUGAACCUGAAACUCCCGGCGAGCAGGCCUUGUGGGCCCAGGAGACGUGCGGUGCCGGGCGGGUCCAGGGACGGCAGGCGCAGCAUCCUUUGCCCGGCCCACAAGGAAGCCUUUGCCGAAGUCGCGGUGGGUACGGGCGCUGAGCAAUAUCCUGCGUGGAUAUCAGUCCCUCCGCGGCCAAACUGCGGCGCCAGGGCCGGCCGUUCCCAUUUCGUAAGACCGGACAGAAACGCAUCCUCGGCUACCCGGACCAGGGCGGGCCCGCCGCCCCCUCACGUGCUCCCCGCCCGGGGCACAGGCGCGGCCCCGCGCGGCUCGUCUGAGGGCUGGGCGCCGGCGGGCUCGGCCCACUCACUGCAGGCGCCCGCAGAGCGGAGGACGCGCCCCGGGCUCAGUCGUCUCGGGACGGGAGGCUUUUCCCUUUACCAAGUUAUUUUUCCCUUUUCCCAGUUAUUUUGUUCCCAAUUUUCCUGGCAGGGACUCAUCCUCAGUCUCUAUGUUCUCUUUCCUCCUCUCAGAUGAAUGCUGAUCACAUCCAAACCAAGAGAUUGGAGACUAAAUGUGGCCUUCCUCAGGAAGGAAAGAACUGG